UAGAGUGAGGGGGUGACUAGUGACAGAUUGAGGGAAGGAAGGGGUGACUAGUGACAGAGUGAGGGAGGUGGUGACUGUCACUAGUCACCACCUCCCUCAAUCUGUCACUAGUCACCACCUCCCUCUGUCACUACUCCCUCCCUCCUUCUGUCACUAGUCACCCCCUCCGUCCCUUACUCUGUCAGUAGUCACCCCCUCCCUCACUCUGUCACCAGUCAUCCCCUCCCUUUGUCACCUGUCACCCCCUCACUCUGUCACUAGUCACCCCCUCACUC